UACGAAGGGGGCUAGCGUUGUUCGGAAUUACUGGGCGUAAAGCGUGCGUAGACGGUUUCGUAAGUCGGGUGUGAAAUCCCCGGGCUCAACCUGGGAAUUGCAUUCGAAACUGCGAGGCUAGGGUACGGAAGAGGGCGGUGGAAUUCCAGGUGUAGCGGUGAAAUGCGUAGAUAUCUGGAGGAACACCGAUGGCGAAGGCAGCCGCCUGGGCCACAACUGACGCUGAGGUACGAAAGCGUGGGGAGCAAACAGG
rnacentral:rRNA from 1 species